GCAACUGAAGAAGACUUAGGUGUCCGAAAGGACUUAAUAGGGAAGAACGGUGAAAAACCGACACGGUCCCGCCACUGUAAUGCAGAGCAAAUCCGAGAAUGUCACUGAGAAAUUGGGAAGACAGGAAGCGUGAUGAAGCAGAGUCAGGAGAACUGCCUAAGGAUAAUCCCGAUU
rnacentral:ncRNA from 2 species